GCUCAGGAUGAACGCUAGCUACAAGCUUAACACAUGCAAGUCGAGGGGUAGCAGGGUAGCAAUACCGCUGACGACCGGCGCACGGGUGAGUAACACGUAUCCAACCUUCCCAUAACUCGGGGAUAGCCUUUCGAAAGAAAGAUUAAUACCCGAUAGUACUUAUAUAGGGCAUCCUACAUAAGUUAAAGAUUUAUUGGUUAUGGAUGGGGAUGCGUUCCAUUAGAUAGUUGGUGAGGUAACGGCUCACCAAGUCUUCGAUGGAUAGGGGUUCUGAGAGGAAGGUCCCCCACAUUGGUACUGAGACACGGACCAAACUCCUACGGGAGGCAGCAGUGAGGAAUAUUGGUCAAUGGGCGAGAGCCUGAACCAGC
rnacentral:rRNA from 1 species